GACGAACGCUGGCGGCGUGCUUAACACAUGCAAGUCGAACGGAAAGGCCCUGCUUUUGUGGGGUGCUCGAGUGGCGAACGGGUGAGUAACACGUGAGUAACCUGCCCUUGACUUUGGGAUAACUUCAGGAAACUGGGGCUAAUACCGGAUAGGAGCUCCUGCUGCAUGGUGGGGGUUGGAAAGUUUCGGCGGUUGGGGAUGGACUCGCGGCUUAUCAGCUUGUUGGUGGGGUAGUGGCUUACCAAGGCUUUGACGGGUAGCCGGCCUGAGAGGGUGACCGGCCACAUUGGGACUGAGAUACGGCCCAGACUCCUACGGUAGGCAGCAGUGGGGAAUAUUGCACAAUGGGCGGAAGCCUGAUGCAGCAGCGCCGCGUGCGGGAUGACGGCCUUCGGGUUGUAAACCGCUUUCGCCUGUGACGAAGCGUGAGUGACGGUAAUGGGUAAAGAAGCACCGGCUAACUACGUG
rnacentral:rRNA from 1 species